GCGGGCACUGCCAGGAGCUCGCCUCGCCGCUGCCGCUCCGUUCAUGUUCAGGAAACAAGACAGGCGACCGAAACGGACUCGUAUAGAGCCCUUGGUUCGCACAGAGCUGUCGGACAUGUCACCUUAGGCCUGACUGAAGUUGGAAUUGUUUCCUCCAAGGACAAGCAGGACGGCAGGUCCUUGACCUCAGUACCGUAGUUGGGUCAUGAAGCAGCAUUUGCACCGAGAGCAAAAUUUUUACUUAGACGAUAUAAUGAACACACAGCAAAGACUGUAUUGAAAUCAUGAAUUACGGAGGAAAUCAGGAAGGUUACAGUAAGAAGUAGUUUCAACGAAUUCAAAGGAGAUGUUCCAGAACCAUACAUAGACAGAUGUUCCUCAGCUUACGAUGGGGUUAUGUCCCGAUAAACACAUGGUACGUUGAAAAUCGUAAAUCAAAGUGCAUUUCACACCGCUAAGCUACUGAACAUCAUACUUAGCCUCGUCCACCUUACGUAUGCGCAGAACUCUUACCUUAGCCUACAGCUGGAAAAAAUCAACAUUGAACACAGUUUAUUUUAUAAUAAAAUAUUGAAUAUCUCAUGUAA